rnacentral:misc_RNA from 1 species
GAAAUGCGAUAAGUAAUGUGAAUUGCAGAAUUCAGUGAAUCAUCGAAUCUUUGAACGCACAUUGCGCCCGCUAGUACUCUAGCGGGCAUGCCUGUUCGAGCGUCAUUUCAACCCUCAAGCCCCCAGGGGCUUGGUGUUGGGGAUCGGCCGCGCGGCGCUCCGGCGCCCCGGGGCCGGCCCCGAAAUCUAGUGGCGGUCUCGCUGUAGUCCUCCUCUGCGUAGUAGCACAAACCUCGCACUGGAACUCGGCCUGGCCACGCCGUAAAACACCCCCAAACUUCUGAAAUGUUGACCUCGGAUCAGGUAGGAAUACCCGCUGAACUUAA